UCUAUUUAUAGCUCCCACCCCAGCUCAGGAACCCUGGUGUCCAGGCUCAGAGUUUUCCCAGCUGCUCAACACAGUGCAAUAACACACCCCUGCCUGGCUCCUCCUGGGCCCAGAAACAUCCCACCGCCCCCCACAGGCACUGUCUUCCUCACACCCUCCUAGUGCUCACCAUGCCCUUCCCCUCGGUGCCCUCUUUUGCCAGCAUUCCACAAAGGGAAAGCAGCCAGGCACAGUAUGGGAAGAGAUUGGGUCACUUUGCUCCAUAUGGGAAUUUCAUUUCCAAGAAUUUGAAGCCCUGUUCCUGCCUGCCCCGCCCCCAUCGUGGUUGUUAAUCUUCCCCUUGGCGUGGCCGUCACUGCAGAAUGCCAUGGACUGGGGUGGACCGGGAUGGGGGCUGGGGGGGCAGCUCUCACUAGCCUCUGGGAAAGUCCUCAAAGCCCAUGGCCCGGAGCCCCGAGGACAAUGCUGCUGCCUGGGACAUCCGGAGGGUGCUAGGCUGGGGGCACAUUGCUCUUCCUCCCCACACCCCUCCCAGCUGUCCCUGGCACUCAGGGCCCCUGGAGCUGGUGUCCGGAACUGCUUGGUGACUCGGGGAGCAGGAUGCUCUGCUGCUCCUCUCCAAGCUCACAUUGGACCCCCAUCCUCUCAGGUUGGUUCUCCCAGAGCAGUGGAUAUUCUCAGUGGGGAAACUGAGGCUCAGAGGGAUCACACAAUUUGAGCUGAUAAGACCAGAACCAGAACUCAGGUCUCCUGAGUCUAUAUCCAACUUCCCAGAGAAAGAAAGAGAGCCGGUUCCCUCCACUACAGAGUUGCAGGGACAGGGCUGGCUGGUCUUGGGGUGUCCCUGCUGCUCAUUUAAUGAAAGCGCCCAAGAACGGCCGGUCAAAGAGAGGAAGGGAAACCAGAAAAGGCAGACAGAAAAUAAAAAGAAAAAGUUAGACUUUGAACCCAGAGCUGGCCCUUGCAUUUAGGCACGUGGGAGGGGGCCCUAGUGGGAGCCAAAGGUGGCCCAGGAGGCAGCUCGAGCCGUGGGGAUGGGCGGGAGGGUCUCCCCAAGUCCUCCUGGAUGUAACCUCUCCAAAGUUUGGGAAGAAAAUCAAGACUCCUUGGGCCAGGAAGCAGUUACAGAGGGGCAGGCCAGGGACAGUGGGACCUGAGGGACCAGGAGGGCCACCUGGACCCAGCCCAGCAGGCGUGUGAUGCCACCCCUGGGCUUCCAUAACCUGUUUAAGGAGCAGACAUACCACUCCUUUCAUCGCAGCUGAAGGGCUCCAGGCUGAACCUCUGUCUGGGUUUGGCAAGUAGUGUGGGGAGACGUCAAAAGAAGACAACAGAGAGCUUCUAAGAGGUGUGUGGCAGUCAACGGCAUAACAGAUACCAGAUGAUGAAACUAAGGCCAGAGGACAUCAGUGACAGAUCCGGGCUGCACAGCUGGCAAAUCCAGGUCUGCCCAAGGCUAUGCCGUCUGGUGCUGACAUCCGAGCUCCAAAGCUUUUCAGUUAGUUGGGAGUAGAGGAGCUUUAUUUCCUGCAUCUGAGCUCCUGACUGGUAGCCCACCUCAGCCCCUAAUUGUCAGGUUCGUUCUGUCUAGUCCCCUGGCCCCAGAGAUAUUAUCCAGUUUGGGAGCUGGGAUCCUUCAUGCCAAGCACCCAGAGCAUCAGUGCUCUCCUGGAGCGGCCAGUCCUGCUCGCCUUGAUUCCGUCACCUUGUCCUGCCGGCUGUCUGGACCUGCACGCCCUUGUCAUCGUCGCCCGGGGCACCAGCUCCUUCUCAGGAUGAUGGUUUGUGCUACACAGACACAGCACAGCAACGUGGUUAAGAGCUCGUGCUUCGGAGUCAGAACGCCUGGAUAAGAAAUGUCAGGUCUACCACUAAUUGGACAAAUAUUUUAGCUUCUCUGAACUUCAGUUUCCUCAACAGCUCUAACUCACAGAGUUGUUUUGAGAAUUAAAAUGCUCAA